rnacentral:lncRNA from 1 species
GAAGGAUUAAGCCUAUUAAAGAUGGGUGUUCAGGAACUGAAAUGCAAGACACUAGGGGCAGAGAACUUCUUAGAAGGUUGUGACAGUCACAACUAUGAGAAUACAGAGACAAAUGGGGAGCAGGUGAAGGUAAACCUAUCUGCUUUGGUAACUGACCAGAGGAAAGCACCUGUGGUAGGAAAAGGAGAAGACAAUGGCCAGGGUGUUACUACCUGGGAGACUGGCAGAACCAUAGAAAUACACUAGAAACCUAGAGAGGAGCUUGUUUUGGAUAGGCAGAGAUGUGGUGUGAAUUUCAGCAGGGUCUUUAAAUUUGUGACUGAAGCCAGGAGGAUAUAUAGCCAAUACCCCAAACUGUAUUUGAAACCUUUUAAGUUUAACCUCUAAAACAGUUUGAGGUAUUGGCUAGUGAACAUAGUUGAGUUCUCUAAGUAGACAGACUAGAAGUGUAUUAUCUUUGAGUAUAUUUACCUAAUUAAUGAGCCAAACAAUUAAACCAGUUCUUCUGUCCUGACCCAGGAGGAGGGAAUGCUAUUCAAAAUGAGACCUAUUAGAAGUAAGAGCCUGGAUGCCCUGCAUCCCUCACCUCCCUGUAGGCAUCAGUUUAUAUCUACUUCACGUCUCUUAUCCUCUGUGGUAUAGAAUUUUCUACAGUCUUAUCUCAAACCUGAAUUUGUCCUAUGGAUUGGACAAAGAUGCUUUACAGAGAGAAAUGCUAUGCAUGCUCAGCAGAGACCCUCUACUUAAAGAUGUGUGGCCUUUCUGAGAAAGAAGAAAACUAAUCUCCUUAAUUGUCAUAACAGAAUAUUCUAUUUGUUUCUCAAAUAGAUGUUUAUUUCCCUUCAACCAAUGCAGCAGUUACUUUAAACAACAGGGCAGAACCCUCUAUCUUAUGACUUCAACUGGUGUUUUGCAAAGGGAAACCAAUAAAAUGUCUAGUUGCCAGGUGUGAUGGUGCAUUUAUAAUACCAAGGUUAAGGCCAACCUUAGCAAUUUAGUGAGACCCUAUCUCAAAAUAAAAAAGGGUUGGUGGUAGAGCAUCCCUGUCCAGUUUCCAGUACAGUAC